UACAGAGGUCUCAACCGUUGUUCGGCUUCAUUGGGCGUAAAGGGUGCGUAGGCGGUCGGGUAAGUCGGAUGUGAAAUCUCAGGGCUCAACCCUGAAACUGCAUUCGAUACUGCCUGGCUAGGGUACUGGAGAGGAGACUGGAAUUUACGGUGUAGCAGUGAAAUGCGUAGAUAUCGUAAGGAAGACCAGUGGCGAAGGCGAGUCUCUGGACAGUUACCGACGCUGAGGCACGAAGGUCAGGGGAGCAAACGGG
rnacentral:rRNA from 1 species